rnacentral:ncRNA from 1 species
CUCAUUCCACAGGGGUGCUCCGUAUGGCCGGGGCUGAGAUGAUGGCGACAUGCCGUCGGACCCUUCAGCUGAUCUGGAUAAUACCAGCGGAGCGAGGCGGCAAUGUUUUCAG